rnacentral:lncRNA from 1 species
UCGGGCGCGCAUCACCCUCGACCCCUGGGUCCUCUUCCGGUGUCUGAGCUGCUGUGGUCCCUACGUGUUGAGUAGGAUGUGUGCAGAGAACGUCAGCGGAGGCUUCCACAGUCCCUGACUACGGCCGGACGGGACCCUGCGGAGGGGUGCUGCCUGUCUCUAAAAAAAGGAUCCUGAGAGAGGAAAGAAUUUUUGUUACACAUCUAAAAGUUAAAGUCCAGCCCUGGCUUCUCUGAACUCUGCUUCUCUAGUAGAGGAAACGUGAGGAGGAUCGGCAGCCCUAAAACCAUGGCCCAGGUAAGUAGAUGCCUCUUUCUCCUUCCUGAAAUAGUAUGAUUUUUAAUUCAUGUAAUAUUUUCAUUCUUUAUCGCUGUCAACACAGAUAAUCAAUAACCAACCUAUAGGUAAGAUUGA